GGGAGAGUGGCAGAGUGGUCAAAAGCUACAUACUAUAAAUAUGUUGAAGUUUUUCUAUGUAGGUUUGAAUCUGCCUCUCCCA
rnacentral:tRNA from 1 species